UUUUUGAGGUUUUGAUUCUGGCUCAGGACGAACGCUGGCGGCGUGCCUAAUACAUGCAAGUCGAGCGGACAGAUGGGAGCUUGCUCCCUGAUGUUAGCGGCGGACGGGUGAGUAACACGUGGGUAACCUGCCUGUAAGACUGGGAUAACUCCGGGAAACCGGGGCUAAUACCGGAUGGUUGUCUGAACCGCAUGGUUCAGACAUAAAAGGUGGCUUCGGCUACCACUUACAGAUGGACCCGCGGCGCAUUAGCUAGUUGGUGAGGUAACGGCUCACCAAGGCGACGAUGCGUAGCCGACCUGAGAGGGUGAUCGGCCACACUGGGACUGAGACACGGCCCAGACUCCUACGGGAGGCAGCAGUAGGGAAUCUUCCGCAAUGGACGAAAGUCUGACGGAGCAACGCCGCGUGAGUGAUGAAGGUUUUCGGAUCGUAAAGCUCUGUUGUUAGGGAAGAACAAGUGCCGUUCAAAUAGGGCGGCACCUUGACGGUACCUAACCAGAAAGCCACGGCUAACUACGUGCCAGCAGCCGCGGUAAUACGUAGGUGGCAAGCGUUGUCCGGAAUUAUUGGGCGUAAAGGGCUCGCAGGCGGUUUCUUAAGUCUGAUGUGAAAGCCCCCGGCUCAACCGGGGAGGGUCAUUGGAAACUGGGGAACUUGAGUGCAGAAGAGGAGAGUGGAAUUCCACGUGUAGCGGUGAAAUGCGUAGAGAUGUGGAGGAACACCAGUGGCGAAGGCGACUCUCUGGUCUGUAACUGACGCUGAGAGCGAAAGACGCG
rnacentral:rRNA from 1 species